rnacentral:lncRNA from 1 species
AUUUCUUAUAGCUACUAUGAUGUUCAGACAGGCCAUGCUUUGAAUUUUGCAAGUUCAGUUUUAUAUGUCUUUAAUAGAACUUUUUACCACAUGGUGCUCAAUGAUGGCAGCAUAGGUUAUAGUGGAUCUCAUUACUAUGGUAUGUAUUCAAUAACUUUGCUUUUAGAAUCUGUGGUCUUAUCCAAAAUGCUUCUACAAGCCCAUAGGACCUUGCAGGCCUUCAUAACAGCAAAAUUUGUAUAUGUUUUCCAAAUCACUCCCUUGUCUAACAUGAUACCAAGAUAUUUGACUUUAGAAGAGAACUGUAAAUUAUGCAUGAGACAUUAUGAAUGAACUUUAUUCAAACUAAAUAUUUUUUUUUCUGUGUUUUUGAAAGAACUAAAACCCUUGUCUUGUUGGUUUUAAAUAAUUAAUUUAAUUUACAUAUUGG